rnacentral:rRNA from 1 species
CCUUAACAUGCAAGUCGAACGGGAACAGGUCUUCGGAUGCUGACGAGUGGCGAACGGGUGAGUAAUACAUCGGAACGUGCCCGAUCGUGGGGGAUAACGAAGCGAAAGCUUUGCUAAUACCGCAUACGAUCUACGGAUGAAAGCAGGGGACCGCAAGGCCUUGCGCGAACGGAGCGGCCGAUGGCAGAUUAGGUAGUUGGUGGGAUAAAAGCUUACCAAGCCGACGAUCUGUAGCUGGUCUGAGAGGACGACCAGCCACACUGGGACUGAGACACGGCCCAGACUCCUACGGGAGGCAGCAGUGGGGAAUUUUGGACAAUGGGCGAAAGCCUGAUCCAGCCAUGCCGCGUGCAGGAUGAAGGCCUUCGGGUUGUAAACUGCUUUUGUACGGAACGAAAAGACUCUGGUUAAUACCUGGGGUCCAUGACGGUACCGUAAGAAUAAGCACCGGCUAACUACGUGCCAGCAGCCGCGGUAAUACGUAGGGUGCAAGCGUUAAUCGGAAUUACUGGGCGUAAAGCGUGCGCAGGCGGUUAUAUAAGACAGAUGUGAAAUCCCCGGGCUCAACCUGGGAGCUGCAUUUGUGACUGUAUAGCUAGAGUACGGCAGAGGGGGAUGGAAUUCCGCGUGUAGCAGUGAAAUGCGUAKAUAUGCGGAGGAACACCGAUGGCGAAKGCAAUCCCSUGGGCCUGUACUGACGCUCAUGCACAAAAGCGUGGGGAGCAAACRGGAUUASAUACCCUGGUAGUCCACGCCCUAAACGAUGUCAACUGGUUGUUGGGUCUUCACUGACUCANU